AAGAAACUAGUUAACUUUAAUAACAUUCGCCUGUCACACGAAAGUAAUCCAACCAGGAUGUUUCUUA
rnacentral:tRNA from 1 species